UACUUUGAAUAAAUAUAAUUCAUCUCUCUGCUUUAGUGAUAAAAGUAUACUUUUGUGGAUUAUAUCAACUCAAAAAUACACAUUGUCCGCUGAACCUAAAAUUGUGAUUUCAAUAAAAGCGCAUCUGUUAAGUUUUGCUUGUGCGUCUGACGUCAUGACGUCCAUGCUUGCUGUGACGUCCACAUUUUGGAGAUUUUUCUCUGGCAGCUGAACCGCCAUUUUUGCUCUCUCCGUUUGGACUUGGAAGAAGGCCUGGGAACACGACUCCUUAGACCACCUAAGUGUGGUACUGCAUGUGGAGAUGCAAAGACUGUGGUGGGGAUUUUACAAGAAGAUCUGAACUGCUGAAGCACUACAAGCUAAAUCAUAGACAUAACGGUCGGGGUCACACCUAUCCAUGCACUUACUUAAAUUGUUCAUGUAGACUGAAGACCUGGAAUGCCUUACUGAGCCAUUUGUCCAGAAAUCACCCCGCUCAAAGAACAAAUGCCCUAUCCACAUUCAAAUGCCUUGUUUGUGGUUAUAAUCAACUUUCCAGUGAAAGGGAAUAUUUCCAACACAUCUUUCAGCAUCUUAAAAAUAAGGAGACUGUAACGUGUGUGUUCCAAAACUGUGAAUAUAAAACUAACAUUUAUGAGAACUUUAAAAGCCACAAGUACAGAAAACACUCUGGUACCGUGAACAUCUUUAAGCCGGAAAUAUGUUCUGUGGAAGAAUCUAGUGCCAGUGUCACUAAUGACACUUCAGAUGUGGAAAGUGUAGGGAGCAUUGUCAAUUUAGAUACUGAUUUGGGCAUUGGGGUUGCUGAAAACUUGGAGAAGGACAUUGAACUUAAGAUUGCUUCAAUCCU